CCUACGUGAGGCAGCAGUGGGGAAUAUUGCACAAUGGGGGAAACCCUGAUGCAGCAACGCCGCGUGAGUGAAGAAGUAUUUCGGUAUGUAAAGCUCUAUCAGCAGGGAAGAAGAAAGACGGUACCUGACUAAGAAGCCCCGGCUAACUACGUGCCAGCAGCCGCGGUAAUACGUAGGGGGCAAGCGUUAUCCGGAUUUACUGGGUGUAAAGGGAGCGUAGACGGCUGUGCAAGUCUGAAGUGAAAGCCCGUGGCUCAACCGCGGAACUGCUGUGGAAACUGUAUAGCUGGAGUACUGGAGAGGCAGGCGGAAUUCCUAGUGUAGCGGUGAAAUGCGUAGAUAUUAGGAGGAACACCAGUGGCGAAGGCGGCCUGCGGGACAGAAACUGACGUUGAGGCUCGAAAGCGUGGGGAGCAAACAGGAUUAGAUACCCCAGUAGUC
rnacentral:rRNA from 1 species